ensembl:snRNA U6 U6 spliceosomal RNA
GUGCUAGCUUCGGCUGCACAUAUACUAAAAUUGGAACGACACAGAGAAGUAUGGCCCCUGCGCAAAGAUGACACGCAAAUUCGUGAAGUGUUCCAAGGGAAA